GAUGAACGCUAGCGGCAGGCCUAAUACAUGCAAGUCGAACGGCAAGUUAUGUAGCAAUACAGAACCUAGAGUGACGUAAGGGUGCGUAACACGUAUGCAAUCUGCCCGCAACAGGGGUAUAGCUCGGGGAAACUCGGAUUAAGCCCCCAUAAGAUGUAGGGGUGGCAUCACAUUUACAUUAAAGCUGAGGUGGUUGCGGAUGAGCAUGCGGAUGAUUAGCUAGUUGGUAGUGUAACGGACUACCAAGACGAUGAUCAAUAGGGGAACUGAGAGGUUGAUCCCCCACACUGGCACUGAGAUACGGGCCAGACUCCUACGGGAGGCAGCAGUAGGGAAUAUUGGACAAUGGGUGAAAGCCUGAUCCAGCCAUGCCGCGUGCAGGAAGAAGGCCUUCUGGGUUGUAAACUGCUUUUGCCAGGGGAUAAAAGACCCGUGCGCGGGGAAUUGAAGGUACCUGGUGAAUAAGCCACGGCUAACUACGUGC
rnacentral:rRNA from 1 species